GAAAUGCGAUAAGUAAUGUGAAUUGCAGAAUUCAGUGAAUCAUCGAAUCUUUUAACGCACCUUGCGCUCCUUGGUAUUCCUUGGAGCAUGCCUGUUUGAGUAUCAUGAAAUCUUCAAAGUAAAUCUUUUGUUAACUCAAUUGGUUUCUACUUUGGUAUUGGAGGUCUUUGCAGCUUCACACCUGCCCCUCUUUGUUCAUUAGCUGGAUCUCAGUGUUAUGCUUGGUUCCACUCGGCGUGAUAAGUUAUCUAUCGCUGAGGACACUGUAAAAGGUGGCCAAGGUAAAUGCAGAUGAACCGCUUCUAAUAGUCCAUUGACUUGGACAAUACUUUUAUGAUCUGAUCUCAAAUCAGGUAGGACUACCCGCUGAACUUAAGC
rnacentral:misc_RNA from 1 species